CGCUGGCGAAGGAGGUGGAAGGCAUGAAACAACAAUGUUACGCGGGUCGGGCAUUGCAGCAAACACAACCCAACCACAGGAACGAAUUGCCUCCCCUCUCAAGAGUAACGAAGCUCAUCUCUAAUCUCUCUUCCCGCCGCCGCAAGCUCAUAUGAUCUCCUCUGUCGAGUUCACGACGGCGAGGCAAAGGCAAGGCGUCUCACGCUGACGACGUUGACAAUCCUAUCCUUCCCCUUUGUUAGGUUUUCAGGUUUUCUUCCUUUAAGAUUCUGGAAAAGUUUUUGGAGAUGGAAGGUUUUCAUGCCUAGACAGUAGACAAUGAAGGAUACCAUUCCAGAAAUAAUUUGGUUACCGGAGAAGAUGAAGGAUACUAUUCCAGG